UUUCCCUCAGGAUAGCUGGCACUCGCUCGAGCGAGUCUCAUCUGGUAAAGCGAAUGAUUAGAGGCCUUGGGGCCGAAACGACCUCAACCUAUUCUCAAACUUUAAAUGGGUGAGAUCUCUGGCUUGCUUGAACGUUGAAGCCAUGAGAUAAAAUUUUUUUUGCAAUGGAUCAGAGUGCCAAGUGGGCCAAUUUUGGUAAGCAGAACUGGCGCUGUGGGA
rnacentral:rRNA from 1 species